UACGUAGGGGGCAAGCGUUGUCCGGAUUUAUUGGGCGUAAAGAGCGUGUAGGCGGCCUUACAGGUCAGCUGUGAAAACUCGAGGCUCAACCUCGAGACGUCGGUUGAAACCGUAAGGCUAGAGUCCGGAAGAGGAGAGUGGAAUUCCCGGUGUAGCGGUGAAAUGCGCAGAUAUCAGGAAGAACACCAAUGGCGAAAGCAGCUUUCUGGGACGGUACUGACGCUGAGACGCGAAAGCGUGGGGAGCGAACAGG
rnacentral:rRNA from 1 species